rnacentral:rRNA from 1 species
AGACCCGAAACCCGGUGAUCUAGCCAUGGGCAGGUUGAAGGUUGGGUAACACUAACUGGAGGACCGAACCGACUAAUGUUGAAAAAUUAGCGGAUGACCUGUGGCUGGGGGUGAAAGGCCAAUCAAACCGGGAGAUAGCUGGUUCUCCCCGAAAGCUAUUUAGGUAGCGCCUCGUGAAUUCAUCUCCGGGGGUAGAGCACUGUUUCGGCUAGGGGGCCAUCCCGGCUUACCAACCCGAUGCAAACUGCGAAUACCGGAGAAUGUUAUCACGGGAGACACACGGCGGGUGCUAACGUCCGUCGUGAAGAGGGAAACAACCCAGACCGCCAGCUAAGGUCCCAAAGUCAUGGUUAAGUGGGAAACGAUGUGGGAAGGCCCAGACAGCCAGGAUGUUGGCUUAGAAGCAGCCAUCAUUUAAAGAAAGCGUAAUAGCUCACUGGUCGAGUCGGCCUGCGCGGAAGAUGUAACGGGGCUAAACCAUGCACCGAAGCUGCGGCAGCGACACUGUGUGUUGUUGGGUAGGGGAGCGUUCUGUAAGCCUGUGAAGGUGUGUCGUGAGGCAUGCUGGAGGUAUCAGAAGUGCGAAUGCUGACAUAAGUAACGAUAAAGCGGGUGAAAAGCCCGCUCGCCGGAAGACCAAGGGUUCCUGUCCAACGUUAAUCGGGGCAGGGUGAGUCGACCCCUAAGGCGAGGCCGAAAGGCGUAGUCGAUGGGAAACGGGUUAAUAUUCCCGUACUUGGUGUUA